AGUACACAUCGCAGUGAUCACCCCUCUCUGCUUCCAGCCUGUGUGGUGUAACGAAGGCUCUAAUACUACUGUGUGAGACAGAGGGAAAACAAACAAUUAAGUGAUCAAAAAGUGAAUCUCAAUGGAAUUACAAUCCUGUGUUCUUCAGCACUAAUCAUUCACCAAUACAAGACUGUGUCUGAUAUUGCAGCUUGGUCCC